GAUGAACGCUGGCGGCGUGCCUAAUACAUGCAAGUCGAGCGAACGGACGAGAAGCUUGCUUCUCUGAUGUUAGCGGCGGACGGGUGAGUAACACGUGGAUAACCUACCUAUAAGACUGGGAUAACUUCGGGAAACCGGAGCUAAUACCGGAUGAUAUUUUGAACCGCAUGGUUCAAAAGUGAAAGACGGUCUUGCUGUCACUUAUAGAUGGAUCCGCGCUGCAUUAGCUAGUUGGUAAGGUAACGGCUUACCAAGGCAACGAUGCAUAGCCGACCUGAGAGGGGGAUCGGCCACACGGGAACUGAGACACGGUCCAGACUCCUACGGGAGGCAGCAGUAGGGAAUCUUCCGCAAUGGGCGAAAGCCUGACGGAGCAACGCCGCGUGAGUGAUGAAGGUCUUCGGAUCGUAAAACUCUGUUAUUAGGGAAGAACAUAUGUGUAAGUAACUGUGCACAUCUUGACGGUACCUAAUCAGAAAGCCACGGCUAACUACGUG
rnacentral:rRNA from 1 species